AGUCAACCAAAUAAAAUCAGAUUGUAAAAAUGAAAUAAAAAACCUCAUUAGGAUGAUUAGUUCUUAAGCAGGUGCACACUUGUUAAUCUGGACAGGUUGCGAUCAGAGGCUGCCACUGACCGGUUGUAUGGCAGUUACUUAUGACACAGAUCUGCAAGUGAGAUAAAGGCAGGAGACUCUUGGCAC